GGCUCGGAGUUCUAAUCCACCAGUCUACCCUGGUAGGAACCUCUGUGCAAAGCCAGCCCCCAUAGCAGCCUCUCUGUCUUGGGCCAAAGAUACAAAUCAGCAACGGCCAGGAAAUGAUUUGCAUGAGGAACUGAGGUGGGGCGGUGGGCAGGAGAGAGGCUGAGGCAGCAAGGGACAGAGUGGGCACACAGAAACUUCCCUCUGGAGGCCUCAGCCUCUUCCCAAGGCUGAGCAUCUGCGCAGGGCUUAGUUUGUUCAUUCCUGGGAGCUCCAGGACAGUGAAAAAGCUUAUAGGAUAUAAGAGUUGAACCUAUUGCACCUAAUGGAUAAAAUCUCUUCUGUCUCUCCCCAUCCCCAGAGAGAGAGAAAAAAUAAAAAUAAAAAGAGAAAGACACUGUUUCAGCAAAUUGAUAUUCGGUUUUUAGGCCUAUAUUAUACUUGGGUCUCAGGUCCUCUAAUCUCCUAUUUGGUGGUAUCCUUAUAAAAUACAAGAAGUGUUCUCUGAGAAAUGUGGAAAAUUUCUGACGAUCCCAGAUGAUACUAAAUCAGUUGCCCCAAAUCCUUUAGAAGAAGGAAGAAUAAGGCCAGGCACGGUGUCUCACGCCUGUAAUCCCAGCCCUUUGGGAGGCCGAGGCAGGCG
rnacentral:lncRNA from 10 species